GCCUAGCCCUGAUAGCAGUGAAAAUCCUUUACUUUUUUUCUUUAAAAAAGUAAAGAUUGAAACGAAUAGCAGGAAUAAGC
rfam:Flavobacterium frigoris PS1 66_11, whole genome shotgun sequence.